rnacentral:ncRNA from 1 species
UUGUACCACUAGGGGUGCUUUAUAGGUAAAAGUUGAUUUUUUACCCACAAAAGCUGAGAUUGAAGUAUGACUUUAAGACCCUUAGAACCUGAUCUGGUUUAUACCAGCGUAGGGAAGUGGGGUCUGGAACUA